GCCUGGGUGGCGGAACUGGUAGACGCAAGGGNNAGGGACUUAAAAUCCCUCGGUGCUUAGCACUGUACGAGUUCAAUUCUCGUCCCAGGUACCA
rnacentral:tRNA from 1 species